GAUGAAGAACGUAGUGAAAUGCGAUAAGUAAUGUGAAUUGCAGAAUUCAGUGAAUCAUCGAAUCUUUGAACGCACAUUGCGCCCGCUGGUAUUCCGGCGGGCAUGCCUGUUCGAGCGUCAUUUCAACCCUCAAGCUCUCCGGAGUUUGGUGUUGGGGCGCCUGGGGCUUUUCGACCUCAGGGCCCUCAAGUCCAUCGGCGGGACCGCCAGGACACUGAGCGCAGUAGUAUUAUUUCGCUCGGUAGGAUCUUCCACGGCGGGUCGAUCUGGCCGCUAAACCCCCCAAUUCUCACCAAAGGUUGACCUCGGAUCAGGUAGGAAUACCCGCUGAACUUAAGCAUAUCAAUAAGCGGAGGA
rnacentral:misc_RNA from 1 species